rnacentral:tRNA from 1 species
GGUCACGUAACUCAGUGGUAGAGUGCCACCUUGACAUGGUGGUGGUCGUAGGUUCAAGUCCUAUCGUGACCACCA